rnacentral:ncRNA from 2 species
GCAACGCCCUAGGGGAGUUUCUAACUGAGAGCCCGGCCACAGCGGGCAACCCUUUGAACCUGAUCCGGGUCAUUCCGGCGGAGGGAAGCGGCGCGAACUCCGG